rnacentral:rRNA from 1 species
CCUACGGGUGGCUGCAGUGAGGAAUAUUGGUCAAUGGGCGCGAGCCUGAACCAGCCAAGUAGCGUGAAGGAUGAAUGUCCUACGGGUUGUAAACUUCUUUUAUCAAGGAAUAAAGUGAGGCACGUGAGCCUGUCUGUAUGUAUUUUAUGAAUAAGGAUCGGCUAACUCCGUGCCAGCAGCCGCGGUAAUACGGAGGAUGUGAGCGUUAUCCGGAUUUAUUGGGUUUAAAGGGUUCGUAGAUGGGUUGUUAAGUCAGUUGUGAAAAUUUGCGGCUCAACCGUAAAAUUGCCAUUGAUACUGGCAGCCUUGAGUACAGGUCAGGUAGGCGGAAUUCGUAGUGUAGCGGUGAAAUGCUUAGAUAUCACGCAGAACUCCGAUUGUGAAGGCAGCCUACUAACCUGCCACUGACAUUGAUGCUCGAAAGUGUGGGUAUCAAACAGGAUUAGAUACCCGAGUAGUC